rnacentral:misc_RNA from 1 species
GCCUUGCACAGUAGUCCAGCGGUAAGGGUGUAGAUCAGGCCCGUCUGUUUCUCCCCCGGAGCUCGCUCCCUUGGCUUCCCUUAUAUAUUUUAACAUCAGAAACAGACAUUAAACAUCUACUGAUCCAAUUUCGCCGGCGUACGGCCACGAUCGGGAGGGUGGGAAUCUCGGGGGUCUUCCGAUCCUAAUCCAUGAUGAUUACGACCUGAGUCACUAAAGACGAUGGCAUGAUGAUCCGGCGAUGAAAAUAGCC